AAGGCUGCCCCUGCCCUCCCUCCAGGCCCAGCAUCCAGGCUCAGCUCUUCCCCUGGCCCUGCUUCUUCCCACCACUGUCCUUUCCAUGGUCCUCUGGACACGCCCACAGGCGAGGCCGCAGCUUUCACUUUCCCCAUGAAGAGGACAGCUUCUUCACGUCUCCAGUUUGGACCUCCUGGACUCUCUGGCUCGGCUUUGACGUCUUCCUCUCCUCACCAUCCACAGACAAGUCUCCUCACUGCUGAUUGCAACUCAGACAGCUGGGCCCAGCCCGAGUUCCCAAGUCAGCCAGGCAGCGGCAGGCCCAAGAACACGCAUGCCUAGGAAGUCUCCAGCGACACUCUACUGCUAGGUUAGGACCAUGCCUUGAGAACUGCUGAGGCUCAAGUUUUGCUCUCUGCAUCUGGAGUCAGCGUCCUGGGUUCCUGUCCCAAGUCUGCCCCCUGAUGAUGGAGUCUCACUCUGCUGCCCAUUUCUCCUGCCUCAGCCUCCUGAGUGGCUGAGAUUACAGGCACACACCACCACACUCAGUUAAUUUUUGUAUUUUUAGUAGCGAUGGGGUUUCACCAUGUUGGCCAGGCUGGUCUCGAACUCCUGACCUCAGAUGAUCCGCCCAACUCAGCCUGCAAAAUUGCUGGGAUUACAGGCGUGAGCCACCAUGCCCGGCACUUGGGCACUUUUUAAAAAAUAAAAUGCAGAAAGCCCAGAAUUGAGUGGCGAUUUUCUCUAGAAAAAGGGAUUGAGGGAAAAGCAUGCCCACAUGUUAACAGUGGUUCUCUCAAGGGGGUAGAAUUGGGGAGGGUGGCUAUUCCCCUUUAUGCUCAUCUACACGUUCCAGCUUAUCUAUAAUGCCAUGUAAUACUUUCAUAUUUUGGAAAAAUCAUUAUACUGCAUGGGGAUAUUGAGAAGAAUCACUGGCCAAUGGCAGUGUGAUGUAGGGAGGCAGGGCUACUGUGGGGAAGACAGUAGGGCCCAAGUCCCAGAAGCCCAUGGUGGGAUGGGGAGGUGGGAGUAGAGAGGGGCUCUUCUGGCCUCCUCCGACCCAGACCCUCCAGGCAUAGACCUAAGCCUACAGCUUUGAAGGUCCUGUGAAAAUGUGUGUGAGCCACCACGCCCAUCCAAGAAUGUUUCUUUAUAAUACUGAAAAGGUUAACUUGGUGCAGAUGGGAGCAGCCAGAGAAAACCAUUCAUAGAAAGCAGUGAUAGUCGGCUGGGUGCGGUGGCUCACACCUGUAAUCCCAGCACUUUGGGAGGCCCAGGUGGGAGGAUCACCUGAGGUCAGAAGUUCGAAAGCAGCCUGGCCAACAUGGCGAAA
rnacentral:lncRNA from 10 species